rnacentral:rRNA from 1 species
GACGAACGCUGGCGGCGUGCUUAACACAUGCAAGUCGAACGGAAAGGCCCUGCUUUUGUGGGGUGCUCGAGUGGCGAACGGGUGAGUAACACGUGAGUAACCUGCCCUUGACUUUGGGAUAACUUCAGGAAACUGGGGCUAAUACCGGAUAGGAGCUCCUGCUGCAUGGUGGGGGUUGGAAAGUUUCGGCGGUUGGGGAUGGACUCGCGGCUUAUCAGCUUGUUGGUGGGGUAGUGGCUUACCAAGGCUUUGACGGGUAGCCGGCCUGAGAGGGUGACCGGCCACAUUGGGACUGAGAUACGGCCCAGACUCCUACGGGAGGCAGCAGUGGGGAAUAUUGCACAAUGGGCGGAAGCCUGAUGCAGCAACGCCGCGUGCGGGAUGACGGCCUUCGGGUUGUAAACCGCUUUCGCCUGUGACGAAGCGUGAGUGACGGUAAUGGGUAAAGAAGCACCGGCUAACUACGUGCCAGCAGCCGCGGUGAUACGUAGGGUGCGAGCGUUGUCCGGAUUUAUUGGGCGUAAAGGGCUCGUAGGUGGUUGAUCGCGUCGGAAGUGUAAUCUUGGGGCUUAACCCUGAGCGUGCUUUCGAUACGGGUUGACUUGAGGAAGGUAGGGGAGAAUGGAAUUCCUGGUGGAGCGGUGGAAUGCGCAGAUAUCAGGAGGAACACCAGUGGCGAAGGCGGUUCUCUGGGCCUUUCCUGACGCUGAGGAGCGAAAGCGUGGGGAGCGAACAGGCUUAGAUACCCUGGUAGUCCACGCUGUAAACGGUGGGUACUAGGUGUGGGGUCCAUUCCACGGGUUCCGUGCCGUAGCUAACGCUUUAAGUACCCCGCCUGGGGAGUACGGCCGCAAGGCUAAAACUCAAAGGAAUUGACGGGGCCCCGCACAAGCGGCGGAGCAUGCGGAUUAAUUCGAUGCAACGCGUAGAACCUUACCUGGGUUUGACAUGGAUCGGGAGCGCUCAGAGAUGGGUGUGCCUCUUUUGGGGUCGGUUCACAGGUGGUGCAUGGCUGUCGUCAGCUCGUGCCGUGAGAUGUUGGGUUAAGUCCCGCAACGAGCGCAACCCUUGUUCACUGUUGCCAGCACGUUAUGGUGGGGACUCAGUGGAGACCGCCGGGGUCAACUCGGAGGAAGGUGGGGAUGACGUCAAGUCAUCAUGCCCCUUAUGUCCAGGGCUUCACGCAUGCUACAAUGGCUGGUACAGAGAGUGGCGAGCCUGUGAGGGUGAGCGAAUCUCGGAAAGCCGGUCUCAGUUCGGAUUGGGGUCUGCAACUCGACCUCAUGAAGUCGGAGUCGCUAGUAAUCGCAGAUCAGCAACGCUGCGAUGAAUACGUUCCCGGG